rnacentral:rRNA from 1 species
GACGAACGCUGGCGGCGUGCUUAACACAUGCAAGUCGAACGGAAAGGCCCUGCUUUUGUGGGGUGCUCGAGUGGCGAACGGGCGAGUAACACGUGAGUAACCUGCCCUUGACUUUGGGAUAACUUCAGGAAACUGGGGCUAAUACCGGAUAGGAGCUCCUGCUGCAUGGUGGGGGUUGGAAAGUUUCGGCGGUUGGGGAUGGACUCGCGGCUUAUCAGCUUGUUGGUGGGGUAGUGGCUUACCAAGGCUUUGACGGGUAGCCGGCCUGAGAGGGUGACCGGCCACAUUGGGACUGGGAUACGGCCCAGACUCCUACGGGAGGCAGCAGUGGGGAAUAUUGCACAAUGGGCGGAAGCCUGAUGCAGCAACGCCGCGUGCGGGAUGACGGCCUUCGGGUUGUAAACCGCUUUCGCCUGUGACGAAGCGUGAGUGACGGUAAUGGGUAAAGAAGCACCGGCUAACUACGUG